CUUCUUCGAGAAGUCUCUCUCUCUCUCAAACACACACUAAAAAGCAGAGGAGUUUGAGGAGGAGGAGAUCGAUCGACCAUGUUUUACUCGCAUCAACUACUUGCAAGGAAAGCUCCUCUCGGCCAAAUUUGGAUGGCGGCUACACUGCACGCGAAGAUCAAUCGGAGGAAGCUCGAUAAGCUCGACAUUAUCAAGAUAUGUGAGGAGAUCCUGAAUCCGACAGUUCCGAUGGCUUUACGGCUCUCUGAAAUCUAAUGGGUGGUGUAGUCAUCGUCUACGAGAGGAAGGUGAAGCUCCUCUAUGAUGAUGUGACUCGUUUUCUGGUAGCAAUUAACGAGGCGUGGAGGGUUAAACCAGCCUCCGACCCCACCGUUCUCCCAAAAGGGAAAGCACAAGCCAAGUACAC